CCCGGAGCUGGGGCGCGGAGGGAGGGCCGAGGGCGCGUCGGAGCCUCAUCCGGCCUGGGCCCUCCGAGCGGGAGCGACCCGGGUGCGGGGCCCCACUCUGCCUGGUCGCCCCGAGCGCGUGGAACGCGAGCCGAGGUUCCGCCCGAAAUGCGGCCGGCGAAGGGGUGCGGUCCGGGCGGGGUCGCGCGCCCCCAGCACGCUGCCUGGGCUCUGGAAUCUGGGAGAAGCCUCCAGCACGGGCUCCCGAGCGCACAAACUCAGGGACGCCCUUCCUCCCGUCCCUGGUCCCCUCCCCGAAAAGCGAGGGGGACGGGCCUGGAGGGAAACGGAUUCGGUUUCGCUCCGCUCUCGUCAAUUUUCUGUUUAAUGUCACCGGGCCCCACUGUGGGAGUAGGAAGCGCGUCACCCGGGCCAUAAAUUUGCGGUGAUGGCGCCUCCGGCCGCCUCCCCAGACGGAGGGACAGGGCCGACUCCGGAGCAGGUGGGGCCGCCGAGACUCGACCUCCGCGGUAGGCGCUGC
rnacentral:lncRNA from 1 species